GACGAACGCUGGCGGCGUGCCUAAUACAUGCAAGUCGAACGCAUUGGGGACGGGUGAGUAACACGUGGGUAACCUCCCAUCAGAGGGGAUAACACUUGGAAACAGGUGCUAAACCGAUACUGAUGGAUGGACCCGCGGUGAAUUAGCUAGUUGGUAGGGUAACGGCUAACCAAGGCCACGAUGCAUAGCGGACCUGAGAGGGGGAUGGGCAACACUGGAACUGGGACACGGCCCGGACUCCUACGGGAGGCAGCAGGAGGGAAUCUUCGGCAAUGGACGAAAGUCUGACCGGGCAACGCGGCGUUGGUGAAGAAGGUUUUCGGAUCGUAAAACUCUGUUGUUAGAGAAGCGGUAUCUAACCAGAAAGCCACGGCUAACUACGUGCCAGCCGCCGCGGUAAUAC
rnacentral:rRNA from 1 species